AACGACUCUCGGCAACGGAUAUCUCGGCUCUCGCAUCGAUGAAGAACGUAGCGAAAUGCGAUACUUGGUGUGAAUUGCAGAAUCCCGUGAACCAUCGAGUUUUUGAACGCAAGUUGCGCCCCAAGCCUCCGGGCCGAGGGCACGCCUGCCUGGGCGUCACGC
rnacentral:rRNA from 2 species